GAUGAACGCUAGCGGCAGGCUUAACACAUGCAAGUCGAGGGGUAUUGGUUUUCGGACCAAGAGACCGGCGCACGGGUGCGUAACGCGUAUGCAAUCUACCUUUUGCAGAGGGAUAGCCCAGAGAAAUUUGGAUUAAUACCUCAUAGUAUAGUACUUUGGCAUCAAGGAACUAUUAAAGUCACAACGGCAAAAGAUGAGCAUGCGUCCCAUUAGCUAGUUGGUAAGGUAACGGCUUACCAAGGCUACGAUGGGUAGGGGUUCUGAGAGGGAGAUCCCCACACUGGUACUGAGACACGGACCAGACUCCUACGGGAGGCAGCAGUGAGGAAUAUUGGACAAUGGGCGCAAGCCUGAUCCAGCCAUGCCGCGUGCAGGAUGACGGUCCUAUGGAUUGUAAACUGCUUUUAUACAGGAAGAAACACUCCGACGUGUCGGAGCUUGACGGUACUGUAAGAAUAAGGAUCGGCUAACUCCGUGCCAGCAG
rnacentral:rRNA from 1 species